CAGUCGCCGCGGGAAUACGGAGGGAUCUAGCGUUAUUCGGAAUUACUGGGCGUAAAGCGCACGUAGGCGGCUUUGUAAGUAAGAGGUGAAAGCCCGGAGCUCAACUCCGGAACUGCCUUUUAGACUGCAUCGCUUGAAUCCAGGAGAGGUGAGUGGAAUUCCGAGUGUAGAGGUGAAAUUCGUAGAUAUUCGGAAGAACACCAGUGGCGAAGGCGGCUCACUGGACUGGUAUUGACGCUGAGGUGCGAAAGCGUGGGGAGCAAACAGGAUUAGAUACCCCCGUAGUCCCUGUCUCUUAUAC
rnacentral:rRNA from 1 species